rnacentral:piRNA from 1 species
GUAAGUCCCAGGAUUGGUAAUGGGGGGUU